rnacentral:rRNA from 1 species
UACGUAGGUGGCAAGCGUUGUCCGGAAUUAUUGGGCGUAAAGCGCGCGUAGGCGGUCCUUUAAGUCUGAUGUGAAAGCCCACGGCUCAACCGUGGAGGGUCAUUGGAAACUGGGGGACUUGAGUGCAGAAGAGGAAAGCGGAAUUCCACGUGUAGCGGUGAAAUGCGUAGAGAUGUGGAGGAACACCAGUGGCGAAGGCGGCUUUCUGGUCUGUAACUGACGCUGAGGCGCGAAAGCGUGGGGAGCAAACAGG